GUGCUCACUUCAGCAGCACAUAUACUAAAAUUGGAAUAAUACAGAGAUUAGCAUGGCCCCUGCCCAAGGAUGACACGCAAAUUCGUGAAGCAUUCCAUAUUUUU
rnacentral:snRNA from 1 species